rnacentral:rRNA from 1 species
GCAUAUCAAUAAGCGGAGGAAAAAGAAACCAACAGGGAUUGCCCCCAGUAACGGCGAGUGAAGCGGCAACAGCUCAAAUUUGAAAUCUGGCUCUCGGGCCCGAGUUGUAAUUUGUAGAGGAUGCUUUUGGCGAGGUGCCUUCUGAGUUCCCUGGAACGGGACGCCAGAGAGGGUGAGAGCCCCGUAUAGUCGGACACCUAGCCUCUGUAAAGCUCCUUCGACGAGUCGAGUAGUUUGGGAAUGCUGCUCAAAAUGGGAGGUAUAUCUCUUCUAAAGCUAAAUAUAGGCCAGAGACCGAUAGCGCACAAGUAGAGUGAUCGAAAGAUGAAAAGCACUUUGAAAAGAGGGUUAAAUAGCACGUGAAAUUGUUGAAAGGGAAGCGCCUGUGACCAGACUUGUGCCGGGCUGAUCAUCCACCGUUCUCGGUGGUGCACUCGACCCGGCUCAGGCCAGCGUCGGUUCUCGUAGGGGGAUAAAAGCUUCGGGAACGUGGCUCCUUCGGGAGUGUUAUAGCCCGUUGCUUAAUACCCUUGUGGGGACCGAGGUUCGCGCUCUGCAAGGACGCUGGCAUAAUGGUCAUCGGCGACCCGUCUUGAAACACGGACCAAGGAGUCGAGGUUUUGCGCGAGUGUUUGGGUGUAAAACCCGCACGCGUAAUGAAAGUGAACGUAGGUGAGAGCUUCGGCGCAUCAUCGACCGAUCCUGAUGUAUUCGGAUGGAUUUGAGUAAGAGCGUAUAGCCUCGGACCCGAAAGAUGGUGAACUAUGCCUGAAUAGGGUGAAGCCAGAGGAAACUCUGGUGGAGGCUCGCAGCGGUUCUGACGUGCAAAUCGAUCGUCAAAUUUGGGCAUGGGGGGCGAAAGACUAAUCGAACCAUCUAGUAGCUGGUUACCGCCGAAG